GACGAACGCUGGCGGCGUGCUUAAUACAUGCAAGUCAACUGAACUUAGGAUAGCAAUAUUUUAAGGGAGGUGGCGCACGGGUGAGUAACACGUAGGUAAUCUGCCUUUAGGCCUGACAUAACCUACCGAAAGGUAGGCUAAAAUCAGAUGAUGCAGCGGCUCGACAUCGAGACAGUUGUUAAAUCUUCGGAGCCUAAAGAUGAGCCUGCGUCUGAUUAGGUAGUUGGCGGUGUAAUGGACCACCAAGCCUGCGAUCAGUAGCUGGUCUGAGAGGAUGAUCAGCCACACUGGAACUGAGACACGGUCCAGACUCCUACGGGAGGCAGCAGUAAGGGAAUAUUGCCUCAAUGGGCCGAAGGACUGAAGCAGCAACGACCGCGU
rnacentral:rRNA from 1 species